GAGAUCACAGAACACUUUGUUUCUACAGAACUGGUGACCAGCAAUCAUCAGUGAAGGAAGAAGACAGGGGUUGAACAUAUGAGAUUAAUUUUUUUUUGAGAUGCAUUUUUUGCCAUCAAAAGGAAGGCAGAUGGGAUGCUUUGGAUAACCGUGUCAUAAUGUUUACGAUUACACUGGAUAUUAAGUUUUGUACAAAAAUCUUCAAAAGAUAAAACAUUUCCAUAGUUGUAAAUGUGUGACAGAUAAAUAUUGUUUUCCAUCCAAUCGUUGAGAUACAGGGACUUAUUUCUAAAGAGAAUGAAUCUGCGGUUCCAGGUGGGUAUGUUAUGGGGAGUAAAAUAGUGUUUGUACAGGAGUUUCCAUUAUAACAGAACUUGUGAAUGAAACGCACACAGUUUUAUAGAAAGUUUUGGAACAUCAAAAUCAAAACAAUUCCCUGGACACACAAUACCAGAAACUUCCACUGUUUGCUAGAAGGCAUCUUAACCAUUUAAUCCUUAAGGUUCCAUUUAUACACUCAAAGUCUGUGGCUUGUAGCCCACCAUCUUCAUAGUCUUUCACUAAAGUCGCUUUUUUCAGUUAAUGGGGUUUUCUUUUCCAGAUGUAGUCAAAGUUUAAUGUAUUGAUGGUUUUGACAGCUUUGCUGGGGAUGGACAGAGAGUAGGCUGGAUAAAUGCAUCUUGAAAAACUUUCCAUUUUGGUAAUAUAAAUGCGACCAAACAGAGAAAGAUCUCUAUUUAACCAUCAGUCUAGUCUUGCUUUACAUUCAUCCAAUUUGUUCCAUACAUUUAAUGAUUCACUUAACUUAAUAUCUUUGGUUAUAUGUAUGCCCAAGUAUUUCACUGCAGUUUUAAUAGGGAUACCAUAUGCUGCCUCAAGGUGGCAGUCAUGUAUAGACAACAGCUCACACUUUUUCAGGUUCACUUGUAACCCGGAUGUCUUUGAGAAUGAGUCUAUAGUUUCAGUCGCCUUUGGGACCUGCUCAACAUUUUUCAGAAACAGAGUGGUGUCGUCAGCCAGUUGAUUUAUAACUAUUCGGCUAUCAAAGACAUUUAACUGCUCGAUAUCUGAAUUUUUGAUGAGGAUUGACAACAUUUCAGCUGUUAUUAUGAAGAGUGAGGGUGAGACGUUGCAGCCUUGUUUUAUACCUCUGAUAUUGAAGCGAGGCGUGGUGCCACCUGGGAGAGAUAUUGAGCUGUUGGUGUCGUAAUAAAAACAUUUUAUAGUGUUUCUGAAUUUUUCCCCCAAACCACAGAGUUCCAGAGCCUUAAAAAUAAAGGGGUGUUCUGUCGUGUCAUACGCCUUAUUAAAAAUCCAUAAAGAGAAUAAAGCCGUCGUCCUUUAUAUGCUCAUUAUAUUCAAGUAAAUCAAGGACAAGGCGAACAUUAUUGUGUAUUGAUCCACCUCUCAUAAAUCCUGAUUGGGUGUCACUUAUUAUUUGAGGAAGACCCUUUUGAAGACGAUUUGAAAAUAUGUGUGUUAGUAAUUUAUAAUCAUUUUAAAUAGUGUAAUCGGUCUCCAGUUGUCCAAGAAUUUGGGAUCUUUGUUUGGUUUUGGAAUUAGAACAAUUGCCUCAACGUCUGUGGAAGUGAGCGGUUGUUUAAAGCUUCUUUAAGUGUUUCAAAUAAAAGUACUUUGAUAUGCUCCCAGACAUGUUUAUAAAAGUUGGCUGAGAGGCCAUCUGGGCCAGGGGAGCGGUCCGAAGUCAAACAUUGCAAUGCCUUUUCAAGCUCGUUAUACAUGAUCUCUGACUCACAUGUGAUUUGGAAGUCCUCAUUUAUUUGGGGAAUAAAACCUCUGAUUUGGUGAAAGAAGGCCUCUGUUGCAUCAGCUGAGAAUCUAGAAGAAUAUAAUUUGCUGUAAAAGGAAUAAACUUCAUUGGUUAUA